UAACGAAUCUUCCGCAAUGGACGAAAGUCUGACGGAGCAAUGCCGCGUGCGGGAUGAAGCGCCUACGGCGUGUAAACCGCUGUCAGGGGACGGAACCAAUGAUUGUCCCCAGAGGAAGAGCCGGCUAACCCUGUGCCAGCAGCCGCGGUAAGACAGGGGGCUCAAGCGUUAAUCGGAAUCACUGGGCUUAAAGGGUGCGCAGGCGGUCCGUCAAGCAUUCUGUGAAAGCCCCCGGCUCAACCGGGGAACAGCAGAGUGGACUGGCGGACUUGAGGCAAGUAGGGGUGGACAGAACAGUGGGUGGAGCGGUGAAAUGCGUAGAUAUCCACUGGAAUGCCGAUGGUGAAGACGGUCCACUGGGCUUGUCCUGACGCUCAGGCACGAAAGCGUGGGGAGCAAACAGGAUUAGAUACCCGGGUAGUCC
rnacentral:rRNA from 1 species